CGACGACCAGGUUCGGCACCUCGAUGUCGGCUCAUCGCAUCCUGGGGCUGGAGAAGGUCCCAAGGGUUUGGCUGUUCGCCAAUUAAAGCGGUACGCGAGCUGGGUUCAGAACGUCGUGAGACAGUUCGGUCUCCUAUCCACUGUGGGCGUAGAAACUUGAGAAGAUUCUUCCUUAGUACGAGAGGACCGGGAAGGACGAACCUCUGGUGCACCAGUUGUCCUGCCAAGGGCAUUGCUGGGUAGCCAUGUUCGGAGCGGAUAAACGCUGAAAGCAUCUAAGCGUGAAGCCGUCUUCAAGAUUAGGUUUCGUUAUUUAAGCUCCUCGGAGAACACGAGGUUGAUAGGCAGUAGGUGUACGGGCAGUAAUGCCUUUAGCCGAGCUGUACUAAUAAGCUGAUUUAUCUCGACCA
rnacentral:rRNA from 1 species